UACGUAGGGGGCAAGCGUUGUCCGGACUUACUGGGCGUAAAGCGUGUGCAGGCGGGCGCCUAUGUGCCGUGUGAAAGCUCCCAGCUUAUCUGGGAGAGGUCGCGGUAGACAGGGGGCCUGGAGGCUCGGAGAGGUCAGUGGAAUUCUCGGUGUAGUGGUGAAAUGCGUAGAUAUCCGGAGGAAUACCAGAGGCGAAGGCGGCAUCCUGGGUCUGACCUGACGCUGAGACGCGACAGCAUGGGGAGCGAACGGG
rnacentral:rRNA from 1 species